rnacentral:rRNA from 1 species
UACGUAGGGGGCAAGCGUUGUCCGGAAUCAUUGGGCGUAAAGCGCGCGUAGGCGGCCCGAUAAGUCCGCUGUGAAAGUCCAGGGCUCAACCCUGGAAAGCCGGUGGAUACUGUCGGGCUAGAGUCCGGAAGAGGCGGAGUGGAGUUCCUGGUGUAGCGGUGGAAUGCGCAGAUAUCAGGAAGAACACCAACGGCGAAGGCAGCUCGCUGGGACGGUACUGACGCUGGAGACGCGAAAGCGCUGGGGGAGCAAACAGG